rnacentral:rRNA from 1 species
UACAGAGGGUGCAAGCGUUAAUCGGAAUUACUGGGCGUAAAGCGCGCGUAGGUGGUUCGUUAAGUUGGAUGUGAAAUCCCCGGGCUCAACCUGGGAACUGCAUCCAAAACUGGCGAGCUAGAGUAGGGCAGAGGGUGGUGGAAUUUCCUGUGUAGCGGUGAAAUGCGUAGAUAUCAGGAGGAACACCGGUGGCGAAGGCGGGUCUCUGGGCCGAUACUGACGCUGAGGAGCGAAAGCGUGGGGAGCGAACAGG